rnacentral:rRNA from 1 species
CUAGAACGAACGCUGGCGGCAGGCCUAACACAUGCAAGUCGAGCGCGCCCUUCGGGGUGAGCGGCGGACGGGUUAGUAACGCGUGGGAACGUACCCUUUGGUAGGGAAUAGCCACUGGAAACGGUGAGUAAUACCCUAUGAGCCCUUCGGGGGAAAGAUUUUAUCGCCAAAGGAUCGGCCCGCGUUAGAUUAGGUAGUUGGUGGGGUAAUGGCCUACCAAGCCUACGAUCUAUAGCUGGUUUUAGAGGAUGAUCAGCAACACUGGGACUGAGACACGGCCCAGACUCCUACGGGAGGCAGCAGUGGGGAAUCUUGGACAAUGGGGGCAACCCUGAUCCAAGCCAUGCCGCGUGAGUGAAGAAGGCCUUAGGGUCGUAAAGCUCUUUCGCCUGUGAAGAUAAUGACGGUAGCAGGUAAAGAAACCCCGGCUAACUCCGUGCCAGCAGCUGC